rnacentral:rRNA from 1 species
GAUGAACGCUGGCGGCGUGCCUAAUACAUGCAAGUCGAGCGAACAGACGAGGAGCUUGCUCCUCUGACGUUAGCGGCGGACGGGUGAGUAACACGUGGAUAACCUACCUAUAAGACUGGGAUAACUUCGGGAAACCGGAGCUAAUACCGGAUAAUAUAUUGAACCGCAUGGUUCAAUAGUGAAAGACGGUUUUGCUGUCACUUAUAGAUGGAUCCGCGCCGCAUUAGCUAGUUGGUAAGGUAACGGCUUACCAAGGCAACGAUGCAUAGCCGACCUGAGAGGGUGAUCGGCCACACUGGAACUGAGACACGGUCCAGACUCCUACGGGAGGCAGCAGUAGGGAAUCUUCCGCAAAGGGCGAAAGCCUGACGGAGCAACGCCGCGUGAGUGAUGAAGGUCUUCGGAUCGUAAAACUCUGUUAUUAGGGAAGAACAAAUGUGUAAGUAACUAUGCACGUCUUGACGGUACCUAAUCAGAAAGCCACGGCUAACUACGUG